GUCCCUGCAGCGCAGUGGCGAGCGCGUUGGAUUUCUAAUCCGAAGGUCGUGGGUUCGAAUCCCACCUGGAAUG